rnacentral:rRNA from 1 species
GAUGAACGCUGGCGGCGUGCCUAAUACAUGCAAGUCGAGCGGUAAGGCCCUUCGGGGUACACGAGCGGCGGACGGCUGAGUAACACGUAGGAACGUACCCCAAACUGAGGGAUAAGCACCAGAAAUGGUGUCUGAUACCGCAUGUGCUCUUCGGAGUAAAGCUUCGGCGGUUUGGGAACGGCCUGCGUCCGAUUAGCUAGUUGGCGGGGUAAAUGCCCACCAAGGCGACGAUCGGUAGCUGGUCUGAGAGGAUGAUCAGCCACACUGGGACUGAGACACGGCCCAGACUCCUACGGGAGGCAGCAGUGGGGAAUCUUGCGCAAUGGGCGAAAGCCUGACGCAGCCAUGCCGCGUGAAUGAUGAAGGUCUUAGGAUUGUAAAAUUCUUUUACCAGGGACGAUAAUGACGGUACCUGGAGAAAAAGCCCCGGCUAACUUCGUGCCAGCAGCCGCGGUAACAC